AGAUGCUGAGCGUCUUCUAUGGUGGCAUUGGAGAAGGCGACCUUUUGGGAAAACAAGCCAGUAUGAAUACAAAGAAGAUGGAAUACAAUCUUUGCUAGGACAUGGUGUGUAAUGCUGACGAGUAUGAAGCCUAGAUUUUACAACGUCUAACUAGUCUAAGGUCUAGAAUAGCUACCGGUUCUGUAAUAAUUAAUAUAGUUUAAUUAUUAAAAUAGGUCUGGAAAAUUAGAUAUUAA